GGUCACAAGAGCUCUGUGUGUUCAUUUCUUUCCUCCAUAAGAUGUGUGAAGAAGGACUGGAGAAUAGGAGGGAUCAGAAGGGAGAAGAGUUUGCUGUGAAUUCAGGGAGAGGAUUGCUUUUGGGAUGACUGAAAGUUCGGAUUCAACGCCAUGUACUAGACACAGUGAGCAGAUCUGAAUGCCUCUACCUACAUCUUCCACCACAGCUGGCUGUCAACUCUCUUGAAAGGCUGUUUUCUAAACCAGUGUGAUGCCUCAGGUGCAGAAGAGAGAGACAAUAAUUAACAAUGUGGCCUACAGCAUCAUGGGGAACAAUUAAUUUUAGUGAAUGGACAGGAGGAGGAAGAGGGAAGGUCUCUGGAGGCUGUAUCUACACGUGCAAGAAGUUCAGUGCUAUGGGAAGAGAUCCAACUGCUGCUGAGGACUCAUUGAGGACAAUUUUUUUUCCCCAUUUCAGGUACAGAAGAAGGACUUGGUCAUGCUUGGCUACCACCCCUGCUCUGCAGUGAGACAUGGCAAAGCCCAGUCCUCAAGCCUCCUUCCUGAGAUCAGGAGCUACAGUUUGUACAGGAGAACAGCUGAAAGAACCACCUGCUCUUUCUCCAAGAUGUUACUCCCUAUUUUGCUCUCUUGUCUCCAGUCCAAAGACCCAAGGCCCAUUCUAGCAGGAUGACAUGAAAGCACAUGUGUUGUCUGAUGAAGAGCAGCCCUAUUUCACACAACACACAGAUGUUUUUGAGAUGCAGCAGCACUGCAUUGUUUUGCAGCACAGACCUACAAAAGCCCCUCUUCAUUCAUUUAAAAUGCCAUGACAUCGAGAGUAGCUGAUUCAUAUGAUGUGUGCCUUGGUGAAAACAAAAAAUAGAUGUAUAAAACUAGAAAUCAGUGACAGAAUUGCAGCCUUUUUGGGUGUUCCAGACACCUCAAGCUCCAGGGCUGAUUGAGGUGAACUCUCAGAAGACACAAGGCUGUGACCCCACCAAAGGACUGAGCACACACCUGCCCCAGGAAGUUACAAAGGCAGAUGGGUCUCUUGCACUCAGGUUUUUCUCCCAGCAGAAAUAAUCUGUCAAGUUGUAAACCAUUCCCCUGACCCAGUCUGGCAACUUAAUAUCCUACAGUGGCUUUUUACUUCUUAUUGAAUAUCAUGGCAUAAAUUCACAAUUAGGUUUCCCUAAUUGCUGUAUUUGAGAAUGUAAUUUUUUUCCUGGUUCUACCCAAAUAUUCUCUUAGUGCCAAGAGGAUGUGACAUCAUAUUUUUUCAGAUUUCUGUACUUAAAUGUCUGCUACUCACAUUUCAGAAGAGGACUGUGCAUCAUCCAUAUAAAACAAUCUAACUGGUCAUUGCUCACAGUAGCACUGGUACAUUAAAUAAACUUUGUGGUAGAAAAAGUUUCAGAUCCCUUUUGAAGCCUUUCCCCAAGUUUUGUUUACCAGUUUGGAUGGUAGGUAUGUAUUAUAAUGUGCAUCUCAGUUCACAACCACAGUUAAUAUAUGCAGCUGUGUAUGUGUCUAACUUCAUGCAUAAAAGUGCUCCAGCUUUGGUGCUUAUGGAUUAUUAAAAUUAUAUCAUUAUAUCUCUUUCUUUGAUCACAAUUUAGUGUAACACAUUAUCUUGAUUCUCAGUAACUUCCAACUUUGAUGUUACAUUUAAUAAAAUAUA